rnacentral:rRNA from 1 species
UCGCAGACUGGCACUUGGAGAGUGGCAAGUCUUCCAGUAUGGGGAGCAAAACAGCUAUGGGUCAAGUCCGAUAUCUUUAGGAGAAGUCUUAUUGUGAGGGCGAGUUAUAUAACACCAUAGGACUGGCCGUCCCAUAUGAAAAGAUUAUAUUAGAAUUGAAUGAAGCUUUGUUUAUAUAUUGAUAAUGACAGUAUAUAUAUCGUGUCUUGACUAAUUGCGUGCCAGCAGUCGCGGUAAUACGUAAGAGACUAGUGUUAUUCAUCUUAAUUAGGUUUAAAGGGUACCCAGACGGUCAAUAUAGCUUAUAAAAUGUUAGUACUUGACUAGAGUUUUAUGUAAGAGGGCAGUACUUGAGGAGGAGAGAUGAAAUUUCGUGAUACCAAAGGGACUCUGUAAAGGCGAAGGCAGCCCUCUAUGUAAAAACUGACGUUGAAGGACGAAGGCACAGAGAACAAACAGGAUUAGAUACCCAAGUAGUCUUUGCAGUAAAUGAUGAAUGCCAUAGGUUAGAUUGAUCAAUUAUAGUCUAGGGUUAGUCUAGCAAACUAAUGCCCUAUGAUAUAAUUCAAAAUAUCUGGUCUAUAAAUGAAAGUGUAAGCAUUUCACCUCAAGAGUAAUGUGGCAACGCAGGAACUGAAAUCACUAGACCGUUUCUGACACCAGUAGUGAAGUAUGUUAUUUAAUUAUAUUUAAUCGCGAAA